rnacentral:tRNA from 1 species
GGAGGGGUACCCAAGCGGCCGAACGGGGGCAGGACUGUAAAUCUGCUGGCUUUUGCCUUCGUAGGUUCGAAUCCUACCCCCUCCACCA